UACGUAGGGAGCAAGCGUUGUCCGGAUUUAUUGGGUGUAAAGGGAGCGUAGGCGGGGAAACAAGUUGAAUGUGAAAUCCAUGGGCUCAACCCAUGGCUGCGUUCAAAACUGUACCUCUUGAGUGAAGUAGAGGUAGGCGGAAUUCCCGGUGUAGCGGUGAAAUGCGUAGAGAUCGGGAGGAACACCAGUGGCGAAGGCGGCUUACUGGACUGUAACUGACGUUGAGGCUCGAAAGCGUGGGGAGCAAA
rnacentral:rRNA from 1 species